GCCCCCGUAGCUCAAUGGAUAGAGCAACGGCCUUCUAAUCCGUAGGUUACGCGUUCGAGUCGCGUCGGGGGCA
rnacentral:tRNA from 2 species